CCCUUAGAUGUUCUGGGCCGCACGCGCGCUACACUGACAGAGCCAGCGAGUUUUUUUCCUUGGCCGGAAGGUCUGGGUAAUCUUGUGAAACUCUGUCGUGCUGGGGAUAGAGCAUUGCAAUUAUUGCUCUUCAACGAGGAAUACCUAGUAAGCGUGAGUCAUCAGCUCGCGUUGAUUACGUCCCUGCCCUUUGUACACACCGCCCGUCGCUACUACCGAUUGAAUGGCUUAGUGAGGUCUUGGGAUUGGCUUCGGGGAGCCGGCAACGGCACCCUGUUGCUGAGAACUUGAUCAAACUUGGUCAUUUAGAGGAAGUAAAAGUCGUANCA
rnacentral:rRNA from 1 species